UGCGUAGGCGGUGUCGUAAGUCGGGUGUGAAAUCUCGGGGCUUAACCCCGAAACUGCAUUCGAUACUGCGGUGCUCGAGGACUGGAGAGGAGACUGGAAUUCACGGUGUAGCAGUGAAAUGCGUAGAUAUCGUGAGGAAGGCCAGUGGCGAAGGCGGGUCUCUGGACAGUUCCUGACACUGAGGCACGAAGGCCAGGGAGCAAACG
rnacentral:rRNA from 1 species